rnacentral:rRNA from 1 species
AACUUCUGAAUGUUGACCUCGGAUCAGGUAGGAAUACCCGCUGAACUUAAGCAUAUCAAUAAGGCGGAGGAA